GAACGCUGGCGGCGUGCCUAACACAUGCAAGUCGAGCGGGGACAUGCGACGGAUAGGAAGUUUUCGGAUGGAAUUGAAGAUGUAUGUUCUAGCGGCGGACGGGUGAGUAACGCGUGAACAAUCUGUCCUUCACAGGGGGAUAACACAGCGAAAGUUGUACUAAUACCGCAUGAGACCACGGUGAGGCAUCUUACAGGGGUCAAAGGAGCAAUCCGGUGAAGGGUGAGUUCGCGUCCGAUUAGAUAGUUGGUGAGGUAAACGGCCCACCAAGUCGACGAUCGGUAGCCGACCUGAGAGGGUGAUCGGCCACAUUGGGACUGAGACACGGCCCAAACUCCUACGGGAGGCAGCAGUGGGGAAUAUUGGGCAAUGGGGAAACCCUGACCCAGCAACGCCGCGUGAGGGAAGAAGGUUUUCGGAUCGUAAACCUCUGUCCCAGGUGAAGAGAAAGAGACGGUAACCUGGGAGGAAGCCCCGGCUAACUACGUGCC
rnacentral:rRNA from 1 species